rnacentral:lncRNA from 1 species
AGAGUUGGAACAAAUAAUCCUAAAAUUUGUAUGGAAUGUGAAAAGACCUUGAAUAGUCAAAGGAUUGUUGAAAAAGAAAACCAAAACUGGUAGCAUCACAAUUCUGGACUUCAAAGUUGGACUAUUCUGGACUAUUACAAAGCUGUAAUCAUCAAGACACUAUGGUACUAGCACAAAAACAGACAUAUAGAUCAAUGGAAUAGAACAUAGAACUGAGAAAUGGACUCUCAACAAUAUGGCCAACUUGUCUUCAACAAAACAGGAAAGAAUAUCCAACAGAAAAAAAGACAGUCUCUUCAAUAAAUGGCUAUAUAUAUAUCACAAUGGAAUACUACUCAACCAUCAGAACUAAUGAAAUCUUGCCAUUUGCAAUGACAUGGAUGGAACUAGAGGAUAUUAUGCUAAGUGAAAUAAGUCAAUCAGAGAAAGACAAUUAUCAUAGGAUCUCAUUCAUAUGUAAAAGUUAAGAAACAAAACAGAGGAUCAUAGUGGAAGAGAGGAGAAAAUAAAACAAGAUAAAAUCAGAGAGGGAAACAAACCAUAAAAGAUUCUUAAUCAAAGGAUAUAAACUGAGGGUCGCUGGAGCAGAGAGGGGUGCAGGCACGGGGUAACUGGGUGAUAAACAUUAAGGAGGGCAUGUGACGAAUCACUGAUCUCUGAAACCGAUAAUACAUUAUAUGUUAAUUAAUUGAAUUUAAAUAAAAAUUUUUAAGAAACCUUAGCACAAGAAACAUGAUGAAAACUACAAAAAGAUGUAUCAUGAUCUAAUCGCUCAAAAGCAGUGAUGAAGAGAAAAUCUUAAAAGUACUAGGAGAAAAAGGGACAUUACACAAAGAACAAAGAUAAGAAUAACAACAGAUUUCUUAUCAGAGACAGUGUAAUAUCUCUGAAGUAUUUUAAGAAAUACUUUAAAGUAUUUUAGUACCAUCAACCUAGAAUUUUAUGCCCAAACUAUCUCUCAAAAAGGAGAUGAAAUAAAUACCUUUUCAUUCAGACAAAAACUGAAAUAAUUCAUGUGCAACAACUUGACUGUAACAAAUGUUAAAUAAAGCUCUUUAGGCACAGGAAAUUUUAUCAGAUGAAAAUAUAUAAUUAUACAAAGGAAUGUAAACACACCAGAAAUGGUAAUUUUGUGAGGAUAUAUGAUUUUUCCUGUUAUUUAAAUAUUUUUAAAAGAAAGUGAUUUAAACAAAAACAGUAAGAAUGUAAUGAAGGCUUUAUAGCAUUUAUAUAUCAGUGAAAUGUAUGACAAUAAUAGCAUAAGCUCCAAAAGGGAAAAACAGAAAAAUAAUGUUUUAACAUUUUUAUACUAUAUGUGAGGUGACAUAACUAUCACCUGGAGGCAGACUGUGAUACGUUUUAUAUGUGUGCUAUAAGCUAUAAAGCAACUUUGCAAUAGUACAGAAAAGAACUAUACCUAUUAAGACAACAAAAGAGAUAAAACAGAAACAUAAAAAUAAUCAAUAAGUCAAACAAAAAGGCAGAAAAGAAGAAAAGGAUGGCCAGUUGAGGAGAAAAGACAGGAAAAAUAAAAACAAAUAAUAAGUAUUAAGAUGGUAGAUUUAAACAUUUAAACCUCAUUAUAUUAAAGAUCACAUUAAAUAUAAAUGGCUUAAUUACCCAAAUUAAAAGAUUUAUAAUUUGGGAUCCCUGGGUGGCUCAGCGGUUUAGUGCCUGCCUUCGGCCCAGGGUGUGAUUCUGGAGUCCUGGGAUCGAGUCCCACAUCAGGCUCCUGCAUGGAGCCUACCUCUCCCUCUGCUUGUGUCUCUGCCUCUCUCUCUCUCUCUCUCUGUGCCUCUCAUGAAUGAAUAAAUAAAAGAUUUUUUAAAAAUUAUAAUUAGAUAAAAAGCAAUAUUCAACCAUAGCCAACUAUAAGAAACACAUUUUAAAUAUCAAGAUACACUAAGUUAUAAAAUUAAAAUACUUGGAAAAAAAUACACCACAGUAACACUAGUAUCAAGAAAGUUGGCAUGGCUAAAGCAAUAACAAAAUAAUUUUCAGAUAAAAAUAUUUUCCAGGGAUAAUGAAAGUCUUUUCAUUACAAUAAAGUUGUCAGUUCAUUAAAAAGACCUAAGGGAGUUUCAAAUUCUUGCAACAGAAAUUGACCAAACACCAAGGAGACACAAACAAAGCUACAAAAUUAUAUUCAGAUAUUUGAACCUUCUUUUCUCAAUAAUUGAUAGAAAACAUACAAAAAUUCACUAAGUAUACAGAAGAGCUGAAAAGCAUUACCAACCAGCCUGACUUAAUUGAUAGUUAUAAAACAUCUCAUCCGGUAAGAGAAUACACAUUCUAUUCAGCUUUACAUGGAAUAGUUAGCAAGAAAGAUCAUACUUUUGGAGAUAAAAACAAAUUUGAAUAAAUUGAAAAUGAUUUGAGUCUACAAAGUAUGCUCUCUGCCCAGUGGAACUGAUUAAGACAUGAGUAAUAGAAUUAUAUCUGGAAAAUACCAAAUAUAUGGAAUCUAAAUAAUAUAUGCCUAAAUAAUACCCACAUCAAAGAAGAAAUAAAAUAGGAAAAGAGAAAUGAAAAAAGAUUUUAUUUUUCCCUAGUUCUAUUGACAUACAAUUGACAUGAGCAAAUAAACCCAAAGGAGGUAAAAGAAAGAACAUAAUAAUGACUACACUAGAAAUCAAUUAAAAAAUUAAGGCAAUAGGAAAAAAAUCAAUAAAAUCAAAAGCUGUUUUUCUGAGAUGAGAAAAAUUUACAAACAACUUAUCAUCAGAAAUAAAAAGAUAAAUUACCAAAAUUGGGAGAGAUGAAACUGCUACAGAUUCUAGAGAUAUUAAAAGAAUAAUAAAGGAAUAUUAAGAACAACUUUCUCUAAUACAAAAAUUUAGGUGAAAUGGAUAAAUUCCUUAUAAAACACAAACUUUUUUUUUCUUGAGAAAAAACAAAUAGAACAUCCAAAUAUCCCAGUAUCUAUUAAAGAUACUGAUUUAUAGUUAAAAUCUACCAACAAGAAAAAAUCCAGACCCAGAUCACUUUACUGGUGAAUUCUAUCAAAUAGUUAAAGAAAAAACAGUAUCAAUUCUCACAUACACAGACACACACAAAUUAUAGAAAAGGAAACAUUUCCCAACUCAUUUAUGAGUUUUGCAUCAACUUGAUAUCAAAACCAAAAUAUAAAGGC